rnacentral:rRNA from 1 species
GACGGAGGAUGCAAGUGUUAUCCGGAAUCACUGGGCGUAAAGCGUCUGUAGGUGGUUCGAAAAGUCCACUGUUAAAAAUUGAGGCUUAACUUCAAAGAUGCCGUGGAAACUUUCAAACUAGAGUAUGGUAGGGGUAGAGGGAAUUUCCAGUGGAGCGGUGAAAUGCGUAGAUAUUGGGAGGAACACCGGUGGCGAAGGCGGCGAUCUGGGUAGAUACUGACGCUGAGGUGCGAAAGCUAGGGGAGCAAACGGG